AUAAAAAAUACCACCUCAACCAAAAACAAUUAAAAAUAUCUAAAAACAGUUGAAUUACUGCCUCUUCAAUCUUCUUCCUCCUUCAUCUCUUAAACAAAUGCUUCAUUCUCUCCACAUCUAUCCAUUUUCUUGUUCGCCCAUUUGCGACUGUUUUCGAAGACUAGUAUCGAUCUGACAGUCAUCUGGAAAAAAGGCGUUGAACCACGAAAUUAGAUCGUGGUGCCCUCUGAAUAACUCCUUCACCUCGGCUACCAGAGUUGCGGCUUCCAUCUUACGUACGGAAAAACAACAACAAAAAUCCAUUUAUCAGUUAUGUAUAAGCCUCCAGGUUGAAGAGUAGAAGAGAUCAGAGAGUAUUCCGUACCUUCCAGCAUGGUGCUAUCUCAAUGGAGACUCUUUGGAACUUUACCCAACUCCAUCAUCCGACCAAACAGUAUAAUUAUGGUGUCACUCAUCGACAUCAAUGACUUCCUGACUGAAAACCAUGAUUUUAUAGUAGAGAAGGUUUUGUGUUUGUGGGUGU
rnacentral:lncRNA from 1 species